GAUGAACGCUAGCUACAGGCUUAACACAUGCAAGUCGAGGGGAAACGACAUCGAAAGCUUGCUUUUGAUGGGCGUCGACCGGCGCACGGGUGAGUAACGCGUAUCCAACCUGCCCACCACUUGGGGAUAACCUUGCGAAAGUAAGACUAAUACCCAAUGAUAUCCCACGAAGGCAUCCGAAUGGGAUUAAAGAUUUAUCGGUGAUGGAUGGGGAUGCGUCUGAUUAGCUUGUUGGCGGGGUAACGGCCCACCAAGGCAACGAUCAGUAGGGGUUCUGAGAGGAAGGUCCCCCACAUUGGAACUGAGACACGGUCCAAACUCCUACGGGAGGCAGCAGUGAGGAAUAUUGGUCAAUGGGCGAGAGCCUGAACCAGCCAAGUAGCGUGCAGGACGACGGCCCUAUGGGUUGUAAAUUGCUUUUAUAAGGGAAUAAAGUGAGUCUCGUGAGACUUUUUGCAUGUACCUUAUGAAUAAGGACCGGCUAAUUCCGUGUCCAGCAGCCG
rnacentral:rRNA from 1 species